rnacentral:rRNA from 1 species
UCCAGGCCCUACGGGGCGCAGCAGGCGCGAAACCUUCGCAAUGCGCGAAAGCGAGCGAGGGGAGCCCGAGUGCCCUUCCUUCGNNGGAGGGCUUUUCUGGAGCCUAAAAAGCUCCAGGAAUAAGGGCUGGGCAAGACGGGUGCCAGCCGCCGCGGUAAUACCCGCAGCUCAAGUGGUGGCCGCUAUUAUUGAGCCUAAAGCGUCCGUAGCCGGACCCGUAAAUCCCUGGGUAAAUCCUGGCGCUCAACGUCAGGAAUUCCGGGGAGACUGCGGGUCUUGGGACCGGGAGAGGUCGGAGGUACUCCUGGGGUAGCGGUGAAAUGCUGUAAUCCUGGGGGGACCACCUGUGGCGAAAGCGUCCGACUUGAACGGCUCCGACGGUGAGGGACGAAGGCCAGGGGAGCAAACCGGAUUAGAUACCCGGGUAGUCCUGGCUGUAAACGCUGCCCGCUUGGUGUUGCCGGUCUUUCGGGGGCCGGCAGUGCCGGAGCGAAGGUGUUAAGCGGGCCGCUUGGGGAGUACGGCCGCAAGGCUGAAACUUAAAGGAAUUGGCGGGAGAGCACUGCAACGGGAGGAGCGUGCGGUCUAAUUGGAUUCAACGCCGGAAAACUCACCGGGGGCGACCGGCAUAUGUGGGUCAAGCUGACGACUUUGCCCGAAUAAGAGCCGGAGAGGUGGUGCAUGGCCAUCGUCAGCUCGUACCAUAGGGCGUUCACUUAAGUGUGAUAACGAGCGAGACCCCCAUUCCCAGUUGCCACCUGUCCCUCCGGGGGCAGAGCACACUGGGAAGACCGCCAGCGCUAAGCUGGAGGAAGGUGGGGUCAACGGUAGGUCAGUACGCCCCGAAUCCCCCGGGCUACACGCGCGCUACAAAGGGCGGGACAAUGGGCUGCGGCCCCGAAAGGGGGAGCUGAUCCUGAAACCCGUCCGUAGUUCAGAUCGAGGGCUGUAACUCGCCCUCGUGAAGCUGGAUUCCGUAGUAAUCGCGGGUCAACAUCCCGCGGUGAUGCGCCCCUGCUCUUUGCACACACCGCCCGUC